rnacentral:lncRNA from 1 species
CAAAUCUCCAAAAUAGCACAUUUCUAAGUUUAUGUCACAAAAAUAGCCCUCAAAAACUAAAAUGACAAAAAAUAGCAAUUUAUAUUUUGAAAAAUUUAAAUUUUUUUUAUUUUUCAAAAUUUGAAAUCUUAUCCCAAAACCCCACUCCCCAGCUCUAACCCUUAAAACCUAAAUUCUAAACCCUAAAACCUAAAUUCUAAACCCUAAACCCUAAAUCCUAAACCCUAAACCCUAAACCCUAAAUCCAAAACCCCACCUUUUAACUCUAAACCCUAAACCCUAAACCCCACCCCUAAACUCUAAACCCUAAACCCUAAACUCUAAACUCUAAACCCUAAACUCUAAACCCUAAACCCUAAACCCUAAACCCUAAACCUUAAACCCUAAACCCUAAACCCUAAACCCUAAACUC